AAUCAUCGAUCUUGACAUUCUCUGAGUCCUGUAACCACAUAAAGAGAAGAUAUUAAAAGGAAGACAUGAUUUAAUUUCUCUUCUUUGUUAAUCAACAAUUAACUAGAAGAAUUAAUUUUAGAUGAUUAUAAAUCCAUGGAAUUAGCUGAUUUCACCAGAAUCAAUCAAAAUUAUUCUCUAUUUCUGUUUUAUAUCAUCUGAAUAAUAAUCGUUCCAAGGGAAGGAUUAAAGUGAAAAGAAAAUCUUUUUGAACAACAAACAAGUCAAUUCUUUUCCCAUUGUGAUAUUUUUUCUUGGUGUGGUGGACAUGACAAGAAGAAGUGGAAAUCAAAGUCUACUGAGUUUUUUUAUCAACAAGAAUUUGUUCCUUCAUGAUACCUGUUGAUAUUCAGAGGGUGGGGAAACAUUUGAGAGAGAAAGAAAAAACCAUCAGAUCAAUUGAAUGGAGAGAAGAGGAAAACAAGCUGAUGGUCAGUCAAUAGCGGGAUCCAAAAGGUGAACAGUCUUUGAUGGAUGAUGAGGAAGAUUCUUCUUCUUUUUCCUCUCUCUCUUUUUGUUCAAAGAAAUUCUACCAACAUGAUGAUGUUCAUGGAGAGUGUAAAUUCAACGAUGACUUGAUUUAUUCAAAAGUAAAAGUUGAUUCUACCCUCCAGGUAAGAAUUCCCUCUCUCCCUUCAUUCAUUUUCAGCUUAAGAACCUAUUACUUAUCAUGGUGUCUUUUUUUUUCUUGCCUCUUCUCUUUCUGAUCAUUUCAUCCACUGAACUUGAUGAUAAUGAUUUAAUUUAUUUCCGCAUAAUUGUGGCCUAACUGUUGGUGAAUAUCUUUGGAAAUACCGUUGAGAUACUCUAACAACUCACUUCUCACACUUUGUUCAGGCACUUUUCGGAUAGAGAAUGAAUUUACUUCAUGAUUAUUCAAUAAUCAUCAUGAUACAUCGUUAAAUUGCACCUUAAUCAUUAUCCACCUUCACUGGUCUCAUCAUAAUCUAAACUUAUUAUUAAUUGAGUUUCAUUAAUGGAUAAUGAAUUUGCUUGAUUACAUCAAUUCUGCGCCCACUUUUCAAUCAGAAUCUCUUGAAAGCAAAAGUAACGGUUUUCUUUCUGUAUUGUUAUUAAUAUACUUCAUUAAUUAGUCUGAAUUAAUCUCUCAUUUUUUUUCACUUCUAACAAUUAGUUUACCAUUUCGUAUCCUGGAUAAUUGAUUCAACUCAUUGACCGACAGAUUAAGAUCUUAAACAAUUUAAAUUGAUGCCAAUCAGUGAUUAGUUAAUUUUGACAAGUAAACUCAACAAGUUUAGCUCUCUCUCAGUUUCUGACUGAUUAAUCAAUUGAAUGUUACAUUUUCAGGAUAUUAAUUAUUCAAUUGAAAACUGUGAGAUAAUUUUUAUUGAUUGACAAUCAAUAUGAAAUCACCAUUUACCCAUCAUCAAUAUUAAACAAUUCUUGAAAUUCAAUUGAUUUAUUACAAUUGAGAAUAAUCAAAUUUUUCUACUUGAUUAGUUGAUCAAAUGAAAAUAUAACAAAUUUAAGCGUGAAAAAAGUAUUCCGAUAACUCAGAUUAAUGCCGGAAGAAUCUGAAUCUAAAUCUGAAUCUGAAUUUUCACCGAAAAAUGAAAUGUUCAAAAUGAUUUAAUCAUGAUGAUGAUGAAAGAAUCAAGAAUCAAGAAGCCAAAAGGAAAUUGAUAGUUAAUCAUUUACCAUUGAUACCAUGUUGAAACUGGUAACCAAAUGACCAUGUUAAUGGUCAGUUCAUCUUACUACAAUUAUCUUCUCAUACUAUCGGUUAGUAAUUGCUGACCAUAAUCACCAUCCACUGACCAAUCUACUGCCUUAUCCAUAACUAAUCAAUAAUAAUAACACUAAAUCUUUGAUUGUAAUGAUUAGAAUUACAAUCGUAAUCAACUCACCUCCCUUCAAAAAUUAAUCUCUCCAGACCCACAAUUACCUUAAUCACCCACCACCUAAAAUUAUUUUCAUUUUAAUCAUUGAUUUGAAUCUUUGAUCACAAUUAACUGUAGAUUUUAUAUCAAUUGUAUUUCCCUAUGUUCCCUUUAAUGAUUAAUCAUUUAUAAUCAAUUUCUCUCUCCUUCUUUCUGUUCAUAGGAAUUUUAAUCAAUUCUGUAAUCAUCUUAAUCAUCAUGAAGAUAAUCAAAAUUCCUGAUAAUCACUUGAUUAGUUAUUACAAUUGAAUCUGAAUGGAUUAACAAUGAUUUCGCUGUUUUUUUUUACUAUUAUUAUUUGAUCUCUAUGUUAGUCUUCAGUCAUGAUUGUAAGUUGAUUGUUAACAAUUAAAUUACCAGGAAAACUAUUUCAUCUUCAUCAAGCAUUAUGAAUUAUCAAACUGAUUCAAUUAAAUUGUUUUCGCAAUAGUUAAUUGUUAACCAACGUGUACAUAUAGUUAGAUUGUUGUUGUUCAUUUACCCUCAGGGUAAAUGCUUAUGUUAAAUAAUCAAAUGAAAGUUUAAUAUAAUUUACAUUUUCGGAUUAAUUUCAUUAAUGAUUAGAUAUUAUUUCAUGUUAAUUGUAUGAGUUGAAAGUAAUUGUCAUACCCUUGAUUGUGAGAGAAGAAUUAAUUAAUUAUCUCAUCGUAAUUGUCGAAAAAAAAAUUAACUCAACUUUUACUUGGCUAACAAACUCUCACAAUUCAAUGUCAUUAGAAUGAAAUUUAAAAGGUAACAACAAUUAAAUUUGUCUAAUUGUAAAUAUUUCUAAUUGUUGUUUGUUUGUUUCUCAUCCCAAUUGUAACAAUUAACUGAUUAUCAAACGAAAACGAAGCUUUCAAGAUAAUAAUAUUUUUCUUAUAUCAUUUGGAUGCUACAAUUUAAAAGAACACAAUUAACAUGAAGUCAUUUUAAUCAAAUUGAUUUAUUCCUCUUCACAAUUAAAUCAAUCUUACAAAUUCUUUAAUCUAUUCAGUCAAUUUAAUAUUUAUCCCUUUUUUUUCAUCAUUUCUGCUUCCGGUUCAUCAUUGCUUCAUCGUUCAUGUUGCCAUUUAAUAGCAAAAAACAGUUUUUAUGAUUAGUUGAUUCACUGAGAGUUGUAUUUAGUUGGUGAUUAAUUGUACUGAUUGUUGACCAACAACAAUUUAAAUGUUUUUAAUGACCAAGAUGAUGAAUAAAUUUUGAUAAAUAACAAAAUUCUGAUGACCCAUAGAUGAGAUUCAUAUGAGUUGUAGUUGAAUUUUUUUUUCAUCUUCACGCUUGUUGAUGUAAAUUUCAUAUUCUAAUGAUUGUUAAACUGACCAAAAGGAUGAGGAGGAGAUUCUUGGACUUUAAUGAUAAUGAUGAUGAUGAUAAGUUGGUGAUGUUACCAUAAAUUAUAACAAUAUUAACCACUUUUAGGCGGAAGUACUUUUGAUUUACUGUAAAUUGUGGCCUUUUCAUGAGUAAAAAAUAGGAUUAAUAAAGCGAGGAGACUGGCCUGUAAUCUAUAAAAAGUUUGAUGCAGAUGCUUGAUGAUAUAACGAUAACCCAAUGGACUUUAACUAUUAGAUUGGACCGAUGAUGAUGAUGAUGAGGGACAAUUAAGUUGUUUAACCCAGACAAUCAAAUCAAUGAAGCUUAAUAAUGAUAAAAUUACCGAUGAUAAUGAAAUGAACACGUUGUUGUAAUGAAAAUCAGCAGCAGGAGGAAAACAAGAGAUUCAAUUGAUUCAAGAUGAUAAUCAUGAUAAAGACACACAGAGGAUGAAGAUGAGGAUUGAGGAGGAGGUUGAUGAGUAACCAGAAGGAUGAGGGGAAAAAAUCAGCUGUAAAAAAGGAUGAAAAAGAGACUGAAUUUGCUCAGCUGAUGAUGACUUUUCCACCCUGGACUUUCAGCUUAGAUAAUCAUUGAACCAUCGCCAAAACAGAGGUUGAUCAAGAUGAUUGGGUUCAGUGAAUAAAAGAGACAAGUAAACGAUGAAAAUCAUCAUCAUCCAACAGAAAAUGUUAUUACCUUCAAAGGGAACAUUUUUUUUCCUCUCCCAUCCUCAUCCUCAUCUUCAUCUUCAUCAUCUCGAUCCUCUCUCUCUCUCUCUCUCAUUGACUAUUCAACUCAAAAUCUAAUACAAUUUAUCCGUUACAUUGGUUGUAACCGUUUCUUGGAAGGAGUCACAACAAAACUUUACCUUUGGAUUACAAAUGUAUUGUUUAAAUUACUCAGGUCAUCAACUUAUUACAACCGUUGCAUUGGAAACAAUUAACAAUCAGAAUACAAUUGAGUUUAAACAAUCAAAAGGAUCAUCAUGAUUAAGAUAAUCAAUUGAACAUUAUCAUCAAUUUCUUUAUCGUUCCGUCUUGUAUUUAGACAUUUCAAUCAACUCAAAACAAUUUACUGAUUGUUUACCUAUGAGAAAAUUUAUUCAUCUUAAUUAUUUCGCGUUUUUUUCUGAUUACAACAAUUUAACCUCGCAAAUGAUCAACAACAGUUUAUAAUCAAGGUAAAUUGUUGGUUAACUCAAUUAUAUAGUUAAUCUUAAUUUUUUUCUCAUGGUAAAUUGAAACGUAACACAAUUUAAAUGGUGAAUUUUUAAUCAUCAUAUCUGAUUACAAUUUACUUUUCCAAGUGUCAUCUCUAAUUAACCUUAUGAAAGUUAAAUUGUUACUCGUUUAAUUUUUACACUUUCAAUUAUUUUAAUUGUUUUAAUACUUUAACCUUAAUCUAAUUUAAAUUACUGACUAGAUUUUCAAAUUUGUCCAAAUAAUUAACGGUCUCUAAUUGAUAGUUGAUUGUAAAUCUAUGAAAAAAAAAGUAAUAAUAAUUAAGAUAAAUUGUUGAUUAAAAGACCACCUCAGUUGAAUUAAUGUUUCAAUUAAAGUUAAAUGAACUUUUUAAUUGGUUGAUUACUUGAUUUGCUAAUCAUUUUUCCUCUUACAAUUAACUAAUUGUAAAAUCCACCGGAAAUUAUUAGUCAAUGAAACCUUGACCGUUACUUAAUGAUUACAACCAGUUAAUCAAUCAGAUUAAUAUGAUCAGUAUUCAUAAUUAACUGAUUGUAAGUAAAAUUAAGCGGGUGAUGUAAAUAAUUUGACUGUUAAUUGUUACAAUUUAAAUUGAUUAUUUUACCUUUUCUUUGUUUUCUUUAAAUGAUUAAACUUUGAUCGAGAACAUUGGAUGAUGAUUAAGUUUGUUUUUGGCAAUUGGUUAAUUGUAAUCAAUUUAAUCAACUGUCAUGAAUGAAGCACACAAAAUAUACUUGAUUAAAUCAUUACGAUGAUGUAACCUUCAACAAUUAAUACUAUAUGGUGAUUGAAUUAAUUGUAUAUUAUUAUCAACAAAUCCAAAUAAGGUUGAUUAUUGGUUAAUCAAUGAUAUAAGAUGACCUGUUGAUAAACAACAAUUAGUUAAUCAAUCAAGUUGAAACCAUUUCUUUUUUGGUUAUUACCAAUAUAACAACAACAAUUAAAUUGAUUGUAUUUGGAUAAUGAUUAAAAAUGUGUAAUAAUCAUUAUCCAUUCAUAAAACAUUUAAUUGUUGUGGUUAAUUUUUCCGUUAAACUGGAUUAACAUGAUGAUAACAAUCAAGGUCCACCAACAUAACAAUUAUAAUCAUGAUUAGUAUUAUAUAAAUCUCAACCUUUGAUUACUUUUCAUUUAACUAAUUGUAGGUUUAUGAUUUAAUAGUAACAAUAUUCAAGAGAUAAUUUAACAAAUUUCAACCAAUCAAGUGAUCAAAGGGCAACAACAAUUAACCAGUCCGUUGAUUGUUCAUUCAUUAUCAUUUCUUAAUUGUCUCCGAUUCAUAAAUAAAUAUCUUCAGGAUUUAAUCCUCUUAAUGAUGAUCAUUAAUUUGAUCAAAAGUAAAAGUUGAUUAACAAGACAUUCAACAUUAAAUUGAACAGAAAAAAAAACUUGAUCAUCAACAAUUUAAAUCCAAAGUAAUCAAGGUUCUUGGCCUUUAAUAGUUACUUUCAUUUGAUCACCAUCAUCAUCAUCUUCAUCUUCAUCUUCAUCUUCAUCCUUUUACCUUUCACUUUCUCCCUCAUCAUCUUCAUCUUCAUCUUGAUCAUCAUCUUAAUCUCUCAUUCCAACCUCACCUUGAUUUCCCUCAUAAUUUCAAACUUCCUCCUUAAUCAUCAUCUUAAUCAUCAUCAACUUUACGAUGAUCACAAUUAUGUAUCAAUGGAAUCACAA